rnacentral:rRNA from 1 species
UACCAGCACCCCGAGUGGUCGGGACGUUUAUUGGGCCCAAAGCAUCCGUAGCCGGUUCUACAAGUCUUCCGUUAAAUCCACCUGCUUAACAGAUGGGCUGCGGAAGAUACUAUGGAGCUAGGAGGCGGGAGAGGCAAGCGGUACUCGAUGGGUAGGGGUAAAAUCCGUUGAUCCAUUGAAGACCACCAGUGGCGAAGGCGGCUUGCCAGAACGCGCUCGACGGUGAGGGAUGAAAGCUGGGGGAGCAAACCGG